rnacentral:tRNA from 1 species
GCCCUUGUAGCCCAGUGGCAGAGGCAUACGACUUAAAAUCGUACAAGCGUUGGUUCAAAUCCAACCAAGGGCA